AGAGCGAACGCUGGCGGCAGGCCUAAUACAUGCAAGUCGAACGGACCCUUCGGGGUUAGUGGCGGACGGGUGAGUAACACGUGGGAACGUGCCCUUUGGUUCGGAACAACUCAGGGAAACUUGAGCUAAUACCGAAUGUGCCCCCUCCUUUGAUUAGGGGGGUGGGAAAGAUUUAUCGCCAUUGGAGCGGCCCGCGUCUGAUUAGCUAGUUGGUGGGGUAAAGGCCCACCAAGGCUACGAUCAGUAGCUGGUCUGAGAGGAUGAUCAGCCACACUGGGACUGAGACACGGCCCAGACUCCUACGGGAGGCAGCAGUAGGGAAUCUUGCGCAAUGGGCGAAAGCCUGACGCAGCCAUGCCGCGUGAAUGAUGAAGGUCUUAGGAUUGUAAAAUUCUUUCAGCGGGACGAUAAUGACGGUACCCGCAGAAGAACGCCCGGCUAACUUCGUGCCAGCAGCCGC
rnacentral:rRNA from 1 species